UGUUCUGUGGCUUAGUUGGUUAAAGCGCUGAUCAGGCGAUACGGAGUAGUGGGUUCAAAUCUCACUAGAACUC
rnacentral:tRNA from 1 species